UGAGGAAUUUUGCGCAAUGGGCGAAAGCCUGACGCAGCGACGCCGCGUGGAGGAUGACGGCCUUCGGGUUGUAAACUCCUGUCAGGGGUGAAGAAACUUCGCAAGAAGCUGACGGUAACCCCAGAGGAAGCCCCGGCUAACUACGUGCCAGCAACCGCGGUAAUACGUAGGGGGCAAGCGUUGGUCGGAAUUACUGGGCGUAAAGGGUGUGUAGGUGGCUGAUUAAGUUAAGGAUGAAAUCCCGAGGCUCAACUUCGGAACUGUCCUUGAUACUGGUCAGCU
rnacentral:rRNA from 1 species